rnacentral:rRNA from 1 species
AUGAACAUGAGGGUCCACGGGUUUGGUGAUCAACAAGAGAGGGACCUCAAAAGAGUACAGAAACUGUGGACUUCUAAAUCUUCUGUGGGGCAAUGUGAGCCCCUCGUUUUAAAAUGUGCUAAUUAUCCGGCCCAGCUGGUCACCUCUUGCUCAAUCUAUACACACACACCAGUACUAUAUCUCACCUAUUGCGAGGUAGAGCAUGUGCUCGCCUACACAGCGACAGAUGUUAUCCGGGCCCAGCAGAGGGGCGGGGGAGAGAGGAGGGCAGUGGGAGGAGGAGGAAGAGGGAGGAGUGAGGGCUUCGGGAGGCUAGGGACGAAGGGAGGAGAGAGGAGGGAGCAGGCAACAGGGCGGCAAUCGGACGAGGGAGAGGAGGGAGGAGCGACGUCCGCCGGCGCGAGAGGACGGCCGUGGGAGGAGGGAGAGAGGAGGGUGGCAAAAGGUGGAGGGAGGGAGGGAGGCAGAUACCUUGGGGGCGACGGCGGGCGGCGGAGUAGUACGAUGGGCGAGAUCUGCUUCACAUUGUUCACGGGCCGCGGGAUCUUUUUAUCGAGGGCACCCUACGUCGUCCCCUUCAGAUUCCUUGUUCUAGUGGUUCUCUCCGACGCUGAUGUAGCCUUUGCUAUGUCCCGUUGUUGUAUCCCUCCAUCGCAUGCAAGCGUGCCGCCUAAUCCAUUCUCCCCGACCCCGCCGCCCGCGCCCGCGCGCCACCCGCUCCUCCUCGCCUCCCGGAGGACGUCCGCCGCUCUUCCUCCGCCUGUCCCGGAGGCCUUACUCGACGCCCUCCACCGAACAGCCGCCGCACUCGUCCCGCCCUCAGCGCCGCACCUCCACCGCCAUUUCCGCUGGCUCAUCGCCGACGCCUCCGCCCCUUCCCCGUCCAGCGGCGACCCGGCGGCGCGCUACCUCCUCCCCGCGCCGCUCGGGAACGAGAACUGGAAGGACCUGGUGGUCGCCGUCCGGGAUGGCGUGCUCAUCCCGCGGCCCGAGACGGAGGCCGUCGUGGAGGGCAGCUCCCGCCGUGUCCUCGCCUACCCUGCCCUCCGCGCCGCCGUGAUCUAUUGCACCGCCGUGCUCCCCGACGUGCCCGCAGCCGUGGGCCCCCAUCCGCCGCCGCCGUUCGCGGGCCUCCGGGCGAGGUCCAUGGCCACCUUCACCCGCACUUAUUUCUGGGCAGUAAAAUCUCUGUUCAUAUAUCGUUCUGUGUAUGUGAUUGGGGAACUCUGCUUAGAAAUGAAUGGUUCUUGUGAGUUCUUGGGAGUCUUAAAAUUCCCUCUUCAUGCUAAUGCAAUCUGUUCACAUGGGGCUGGGAUGACUGAUGUUGAGGCUGCUGCAAUGAUUACAACCUUACUUGAGAUGUUUGAUUGCUCCAUGCUGGUAAGGAAAGUUGACAUGCUUAACGGUGUGACAAUCCCACGGUCCGAGAAAGUAAAGGAUGAGAUCGUCCUCGAUGGCAACGGCAUCGAGCUCGUCUAUCACUCUGCUGCCCUUAUCAACCAGGUACUGGCGGAGGCCGGGAGCGCCAAGGUGGUGGCGUUCGACGAGAUCGACCUUAACAUGUUGCACUACCUGAGCUUGUGUACUAGAAGCAGGCACCCAAAUUUUCUUUUUGAUUGCUGGAAAGAUGGUGGUUGGGUGUCAACAAGGAAUGGAAUUGAUGGAGAUCCCUACGUGUGCGUCGUUUCUAUACCAUGCAUGCUGGUAGCAGAUUGAUCAAGACGUCAACAACAAGAAAAUACUAUUCAUGUCAUGCACAAGUGCACCACAAAGAAGAGCACCGGUCUGUCUACUUCUUGCUGCUCCGACCCAAGUGCUGGCUGACACCAUGGAAGGUAUCUCUCUCCCUCUCCUCAUACUCUACCCUGGGUACAAUCCUAUUUGCUUACUACACCACCACAUUAGCCAUCAAAUUUGUGACAAGAAAACGGAAACCCUCUUCCUUUCUUCCGAGAGGAGAGGUCAGGUCCUUGACUGCUAGAGUCGAUCUAUUUAUCUGCAUUGUGAAGUAACAACGGUUCUUUGGUCCAUGUUAAUAUGUCAAGAAACUGUUUGUUUGUUGAAACAACCAUCAGUCACUCUCAGAUACUGCUGACUGCUUUCUGUUGCUAGUAUAGUUCAAGCUUCUUUGCCAUGUAUUUCAUUAGGAUGUGAACAAUCUACUACAUGCUCACAAAGCUAUUGACUUAAAUUUUUUGUUUCUUUGCUGUCAAUGUUUGCCAAGCUAUUUAAACGAUGAUGACAAACUGAAAUCAUGAAUACUCAUAUAGAAAUUUGAACAACCAUCUUGUUUAAUUUGGUGAUGUUCCUCCAUCUAAGUGCUAAUCUGCUGCAUUCUUAUUCAACUUUCAUUGACAGUUUUAGUUUCGCUGAAAUCAUGUUUUUAUUUUCUAUGCUUAUGUAUGUGGACAAACACUACUAGCUCUAGAAGGACCGACAUUACCAUCAAGUACGCCAUCGAGGUGAAUGGUGCUUGUGUUGUUGGUAGAACUCCGUUGAUGACUUCUUCCUAUGUUGAAAGCAUGUUCCGUGGUAUCCAAGAGUAGCUAGCUUUACACUCGCAGAGCGUUUUAUUUGUCGAUCACAAUAUUUGUGAUUGUAUGGAAUAUUGUAUGGUUAUCUACGUGACGUUUGAAGUUCCUGGGCAUGCAAUAUUUGAAGGUUAAACUGGUUGUUGUGAUGUGAACGAGUGUAUGGAGUUUCACAUGUUCUGUUCUGUACAAAAUAUAUUGUAAUAAACCUAUUUUGGUUGUUAUUUGAAGAUUUUCA